AGGCUAAAAGGAGAGAUGAGAUUCUCCAACUCUUAAAAAAACAAAGAGAAGAAAGGAUCUCGAAAGAACUGAUCUCCCUUCCUUAUAAACCAAAGAGCAAAGUCUGCAAAGCAAAGAAAGUGAUUCCAGAGUCCAAUAAGGAAGACCAAGAAGAAGUCAAAGCUUUGAACUAAAUUGAUUGACACGUUCCAGAGGACGG